rnacentral:rRNA from 1 species
GAUGAACGCUGGCGGCGUGCCUAAUACAUGCAAGUCGAACGCUUUGUCUUUAAUUGUUAUGAAGAGCUUGCUCUGAUUCGAUUUUAUCUGACAAAGAGUGGCGAACGGGUGAGUAACACGUGGGUCACCUACCUCUUAGCAGGGGAUAACAUUUGCAAACAAGUGCUAAUACCGUAUAACACUAACAACCGCAUGGUUGUUAGUUGAAAGAUGGUUCUGCUAUCACUAAGAGAUGGACCCGCGAUGCUUUAGCUAGUUGGUAAGGUAAUGGCUUACCACGGCGAUGAUGCGUAGCCGAAGUGCGAGACGGGUCGGCCGCAAGAGGACUUGGACACGGACCAUAGGCCUACGAUAGGCAGCAGUAGGGAAUGUUCCGCAGUGGGCGCAAGCCUUAUGGAACGACGCCACGUGUGUGAUAGAGGGUUUCGGCUCGUAAAACACGGUUAUAAGUUGAGAACGACAUUGAGAGUAACUGUUCAGUGUGUGACGGUAACGGAUCAGAAAGGAACGGCUAAAUACGUG